rnacentral:rRNA from 1 species
CCUACGGGAGGCAGCAGUGAGGAAUAUUGGUCAAUGGACGAAAGUCUGAACCAGCCAAGUAGCGUGAAGGAUGACUGCCCUAUGGGUUGUAAACUUCUUUUAUAUGGGAAUAAAAUGUUCCACUUGUGGUAUUUUGUAUGUCCCAUAUGAAUAAGGACGGGCUAACUCCUUGCCAGCAGCCGCGGGAAUACGGAGGGUCCGGGCGUUUUCCGGAUUUAUUGGGUUUAAAGGGAGCGUAGGUGGGAUGUGAAGUCAGUUGUGAAAGUUUGGGGCUCAACCCUAGCAUUGCAGUGGAAACUGGCAGUCUUGAGUACAGGAGAGGUAGGCGGAAUUCGUGGUGUAGCGGUGAAAUGCUUAGAUAUCACGAAGAACUCCGAUUGCGAAGGCAGCUCACUGGAGUGCAACUGACGCUGAGGCUCGAAAGCGUGGGUAUCGAACAGGAUUAGAUACCCGUGUAGUC